rnacentral:rRNA from 1 species
GAUGAAACGCUGGGCGGCGUGCCUAACACAUGCAAGUCGAGCGAUGAAGUUUCCUUCGGGAAAUGGGAGUUAGCGGCGGACGGGUGAGUAACACGUGGGUAGCCUGCCUCAUAGUGGGGGAUAGCCUUCCGAAAGGAGAUUAAUACCGCAUAACAUCAUUAGAUGGCAUCAUUUAGUGAUCAAAGGAUUUAUUCGCUAUGAGAUGGACCCGCGUCGCAUUAGCUAGUUGGUAGGGUAAUGGCUUACCAAGGCGACGAUGCGUAGCCGACCUGAGAGGGUGAUCGGCCACAUUGGGACUGAGACACGGCCCAGACUCCUACGGGAGGCAGCAGUGGGGAAUAUUGCACAAUGGGGGAAACCCUGAUGCAGCAACGCCGCGUGAGUGAUGACGGUCUUCGGAUUGUAAAGCUCUGUCUUUGGGGACGAUAAUGACGGUACCCAAGGAGGAAGCCACGGCUAACUACGUGCCAGCAGCCGCGGUAAAU